rnacentral:rRNA from 1 species
GGGAUCAUUACCGAGAUUACAACUCCCAAACCCAAUGUGAACGUACCAAUUUGUUGCCUCGGCGGGGUUACGCCCCGGGUGCGUCGCAGCCCCGGAACCAGGCGCCCGCCGGAGGAACCAACCAAACUCUUUCUGUAGUCCCCUCGCGGACGUAUUUCUUACAGCUCUGAGCAAAAAUUCAAAAUGAACCAAAACUUUCAACAACGGAUCUCUUGGUUCUGGCAUCGAUGAAGAACGCAGCGAAAUGCGAUAAGUAAUGUGAAUUGCAGAAUUCAGUGAAACAUCGAAUCUUUGAACGCACAUUGCGCACGCCAGUAUUCUGGCGGGCAUGCCUGUCCGAGCGUCAUUUCAACUCUCGAACCCCUCCGGGGGAUCGGCGUUGGGGAUCGGGACCCCUCACACGGGUGCCCGCCCCUAAAUACAGUGGCUGUCUCGCCGCAGCCUCUCCUGCGCAGUAGUUUGCACAACUCGCACGGGGAGCGCGGCGCGUCCACGUCCGUAAAACACCCAACUUUCUGAAAUGUUGACCUCGGAUCAGGUAGGAAUACACGCUGAACUUAAGCAUAUCA